rnacentral:rRNA from 1 species
AUUGAACGCUGGCGGCAGGCCUAACACAUGCAAGUCGAGCGGAUGAAGGGAGCUUGCUCCUGGAUUCAGCGGCGGACGGGUGAGUAAUGCCUAGGAAUCUGCCUGGUAGUGGUGGAUAACGUCCUGAAACGGGCGCUAAUACUGCAUACGUCCUGCGGGAGAAAGUGGGGGAUCUUCGGACCUCACGCUAUCAGAUGAGCCUAGGUCGGAUUAGCUAGUUGGUGGGGUAAAGGCCUACCAAGGCGACGAUCGGUAACUGGUCUGAGAGGAUGAUCAGUCACAUUGGAACUGAGACACGGUCCAGACUACUACGGGAGGCAGCAGUGGGGAAUAUUGGACAAUGGGCGAAAGCCUGAUCCAGCCAUGCCGCGUGUGUGAAGAAGGUCUUCGGAUUGUAAAGCACUUUAAGUUGGGAGGAAGGGCAGUAAGUUAAUACCUUGCUGGUUUGACGUUACCAACAGAAUAAGCACCGGCUAACUUCGUG